AGAGUUUGAUCAUGGCUCAGAACGAACGCUGGCGGCAGGCUUAACACAUGCAAGUCGAACGCACCUUCGGGUGAGUGGCAGACGGGUGAGUAACGCGUGGGAACGUGCCCUUCAGUUCGGAAUAACCCAGGGAAACUUGGGCUAAUACCGGAUACGUGCGAGAGCAGAAAGAUUUAUCGCUGAAGGAUCGGCCCGCGUCUGAUUAGCUAGUUGGUGGGGUAAUGGCCCACCAAGGCGACGAUCAGUAGCUGGUCUGAGAGGAUGAUCAGCCACAUUGGGACUGAGACACGGCCCAAACUCCUACGGGAGGCAGCAGUGGGGAAUAUUGGACAAUGGGCGCAAGCCUGAUCCAGCCAUGCCGCGUGAGUGAUGAAGGCCUUAGGGUUGUAAAGCUCUUUCGGCGGGGACGAUAAUGACGGUACCCGCAGAAGAAGCCCCGGCUAACUUCGUGCCAGCAGCCGCGGUAAUACGAAGGGGGCUAGCGUUGUUCGGAAUCACUGGGCGUAAAGGGCGCGUAGGCGGCUUGAUAAGUCGGGGGUGAAAGCCUGUGGCUCAACCACAGAAUUGCCUUCGAUACUGUCUGGCUUGAGACCGGAAGAGGUAAGUGGAACUGCGAGUGUAGAGGUGAAAUUCGUAGAUAUUCGCAAGAACACCAGUGGCGAAGGCGGCUUACUGGUCCGGUUCUGACGCUGAGGCGCGAAAGCGUGGGGAGCAAACAGGAUUAGAUACCCUGGUAGUCC
rnacentral:rRNA from 2 species